AGGGUCUUGGCGCAAUUAAUCACCCUUGUGUACCAGCCGCUCUGUGCUACGCUACAACUUCUCCCCUACCAUGAAUGCUCAGGCUAGUUAGCAUGGUCCCCAUUGACGGCGGAUAGAUGGUUAUCCUGGAACGCGGGGAGUUUCGCAUCGAGGUCUGAUGCCAUACGGUGCCGGACGCCUUUUAGCAAAGAGGCUAGGCAUUCCUCCCAGCAUCUGUUUAAUCUCCUUCUUGACCCGGUGACAUCAACAUUCCUGGGGAUGAGCAUGCUGUCAGCCGCCUGCUUAACUCUUGCAGACAUGACUAGCUUAAGCAAACCAUUUCACUGAUACGACAGGUUAAUGUGACCUGGUUAUAUUCCACGCUGACAAAUAGGUUACCAUGUCUGCUAAGGGAAUAUUUUCAAGAAAACUCCUUUCUUCUGUCUUCUGGUACUUUAAAGUUACUAACAUUCAUGUAAGUGACUGACUGACUAACUUAGAGGGUGUGAAAUGUUUUUUUUUUUUUAAAGUCAGAUACAGAAAGAUAUAAAAGUUCAAACAUGAUAUUCAGUUAAAGCUCAACUCAUGUUCGUGUUCCAGCUUUUUGUCCUGCUGUAGAGUCAAACCUUUGCUAAGCGGAGCAGCAAUUAGCCUUAAGCUAUGUAUUAUUAUGGAGUCUAUUUAAUCUUAUUUAGGCUGUUGCAGCAUACAGAAACGUACUGUAGUCACAAAAGUACAAAUCCUUAUAAUUAACUCCACCAACCGUAGAUGUCUAUCAAUUCCUUUCCAUUUGAAAACUUUGCGAAGUAGCUCAGUUGUUGCUAGCGCUAAUUUGAUUUAGCACCAGUUAGCUGAUGGGUUCUGUUAAAGCAGCGUUAAUUGUGUUGAUAGGGAACAGAAGUGUAAUGUUUGGGGCUGUAGCUCCAACAACAGUGGUGAUUUUUGCAUGAGUGUCUCUCUUAGUGAGCAGAGCACCUUCGUAGUUCCCUGAUAAUUCACAAUAUUAGGCUUAAAAGAAAUUAAAAGAGGGUAGAAAAAGACCAGGAGAGAUUGAGUCUCAAUCAUUUCAACUCAUUGUCUCCAUUUAAGAUCGUCUUCAUGAAAAAGAGGGGAAAGAACUUAGACAAUGAACUAUUUGGUGUAAUUUUACAAACUGAACGAAGAGGCUUAGCAACAGCCACCUCCACCUUGUGACAUUAUGCAGUCUAGGACGAUGAGUCAUAAUGCUCACAUCAAAAACAAACCCUGUCAUCUACAUCAACGUUCAUGAUAAUUAGCAUUAAAGCUGUUUAGAUUGGAAACGUAACUUCGCUAUCGUCCUCAAAUACUGCUGCUUCUGUUCUGAAGUUUGCUAAAUCAAGUUUUUUAAGGGUUUGUUGAGCAACUCUUUUCCUUCCUGUGCCUUUGCAGACAAGAUUUUUGUUUAUUUAAAUUCUCGGAGAACUGAUUUAUGGCAACGUGAAAGGGUAACACACAAUACAACAUUUUUCAACAGUAAACAGAAAUUGCAUGUAGGAACUGUGGCUGAACUUUGGUUAUGUGUCAAAUAUUUCUCUUCAUGAUUUUAUCUUGUGGCCCCGGGGCGAGCCGCAAAAAGCAGGAAGCUUCCCGGGGAGAAGAUAGAGCUGCGAGUGUUCGAAACAUGCCGGUGCUUUUUGUUGCACUGCCAAACUGGGCCAUGUCCAACCGGUUAUUUUACUAUUCAUCAGUCAAUUGACAUGACGGGUCAUUAAUCCAAAUGAAUGAACCACAAAUUGAAUUAAAUCCCAGUACACGAGAGCUGUGGUUUUUGGCUUGUCGGAGGUUAAAGUAAAUGUGGCCCCGAGUCGGAGGUUCAGGAAUCGCUAGCUACGCAAAGGCAUGAGGUCAUUUAAGUGCAAUAUUAAAGUAAUUUUAACUUGAGACACUUAGGGAAGAAGACAUUUUAUUUAAAUUGUUGUUAUUUUAAACCAUAAUACAUAAUUCCAGUUUGCAUUACAUUUUAUUUUCUUCAGUCACAAACUGAAACAGAAUUUUAGAUAACUUGUAUCAUUUUAAUAAAUUUUUUGCCAUCAAUGUUGGCGCUCACAGGGAUAAAUGGAAGUGAAUGCAUCAGUGUAUGUGCCAUUUCCUGCGUGUUUUUAAUGAAUUCAUUAUCGAACUGUGUUCCAUUAGCGUACCUAACCUGAAAAAAGUUUGGUGAUUGAUGCUGAAUAUUACGUGUGAAAGCUCAAACAUACCUGUAGUGGCACGAGGCGUCCUGGUGAGAGACGUAAUCGCAUCGUGACAACCUGCAUGUCAGCUGGGUUUUUAAUUACUCAAAGUUUUCUUUUGGUUUGCCACAUCUUUUAUUAAACCGCUGCACAGUGUCCUUAACUCGCUGUAGAUUUAGGUAUUAACUAUCCAUUUUGUCCCUGGUCCUGGGUGAAGUUGGCUAAAUGUUUGCAAUUACCUUUUUUUUUUUUU